UACGUAGGGGGCAAGCGUUGUCCGGAUUCAUUGGGGCGUAAAGAGCGUGUAGGCGGCCAGGUAGGUCGGUUGUGAAAACUGGAGGCUCAACCUUCAGACGUCGACCGAAACCAUCUGGCUAGAGUCCGGGAGAGGAGAGUGGGAAUUCCUGGUGUAGCGGUGAAAUGCGCAGAUAUCAGGAAGAACACCCGUGGCGAAAGCGGCUCUCUGGAACGGUACUGACGCUGAGACGCGAAAGCGUGGGGAGCGAACAGG
rnacentral:rRNA from 1 species